rnacentral:misc_RNA from 1 species
UUUUUUUUUUUUUUAAUUCUAUUUUUUUUUGAAAUCGGAUUUGUCAUUUUUCAGUUGCAGAGGUUUUUUGAAUUUUAGGGUUUAGUCAUUUUUUUUUUUGUAGACUGUGUCAAGUCAUGCGGUUUUUUGUUUUUCCCUUGAGUUUCUUGGCCAGAUGAUUGUAGUUGGAUGGGGGGCUGGGAAGAAUACGACCACUGUAGAUAUCAACAGAAGUGGACCUAUGCCGCCAAAUCUUGUAAACAGCACAGCUCAUGCCAGAAAUUUGAAGAAAAGCCAGCUUGGAGGUGUCAUAUUUGGCUGCAAGAACAACACCAUGAAUGAAUGCCUCUCUAAACAACUCUUUGGUUUACCAGCUACACACAUAUCAUAUGUAAAAAAUAUUGAUCCUGGCUUGCCACUGUUCCUUUUCAACUACAGCGAUAGGAAGCUUCAUGGGAUCUUUGAAGCUGCUGGCUCUGGCCAAAUGAAUAUUGACCCAUAUGGGUGGACAGCUGGUGGUUCACAGAGAACACAAUAUCCUGCACAGGUUCAAAUUUGUGUCCGACUACAAUGCCAUCCACUGCCUGAAGUACAGUUUAAACCUAUAAUUGCAGACAACUAUCACAAUCGUAACCAUUUCUGGUUUGAACUAGACCAUGCACAAGCCAGGAAGCUGAUGUCAUUAUUUGCAUCUUUAGCAGUUUCUCCUAGUACUUCCGUAUCUGAGGAUACAGCAAACUUGAGAAUUAUAUAUCAACCUGUUUCUUUGCCUCAAAGAGAUGGAGGGUUUGAAACAAUUGAUUCAGAGGUUCAAAAUCACUUGGAUUGCAAAUUUGAUUCAGUAGAUGUUUCUUCUUGUUUAGAUGGCAAGAACUGGCCUCUAGAAAAUCAGUUAGAUAUGAACAUAAUAGAACAAGAUGAGAAAAACGUUAUACUCAAGCAACUGCAGGAAUUGGCUUCUAAGCAUGGAGCUAACGAUUUGUCUUUGACGGAUUAUGUAGAAGAUUCUGCUGCUAUAAACGAUAAUCACUUGGAAGAAAAGUCUUCAGAGGAACAAAUGGGCUUAGGGUUGAGGAAUGAAGGGAGUGCUUCUGCCUCAUUUGAUAGUCAGUGCAUUAUUGCUCAGCUGGUUCAGGGGAUGGAGGAGCUUAAGGUUUUUAAAGCAGAGCAAACUCUGAAGGUGUAUUAUUUGGAGCAGAAGCUGGUAUCUCAUGUUUGAUCCAUGUUCACUAUUUGUUGCUGGGAUGGCAAUUUUUCCCAGGCUGGCCUGAAGCAGUCUUGACAUGGUUGAUGGCAUUUAGUGGUGUGCUGGCUAUGUUUAGUAGACAGGAAAUUUAGCCAAAAAUGGAUCUGGGAUAGAACUAUGAAACUUGUGCAAUCCCAUGUGUAUGUGAAUUUUCUUCUAUUAAAAAGAUGGUGAGAGUGAAACCAAAGGAGAUGGAAAAAGAAAAAACAAGCAAUAUUUUCUAUUAGAAAAAGUGAGAAAGGGAUUGACUGGGGAAAAUAAACAGAAAGAAAAAAGAGGGUAUCAAACUAUCACCUGUACUGUUCCCUAGGUGGGGUGCCAAUCAUAUACCUGUCUCAUACCUAGUAAUGUCUAGUUCUAACUUGUUCUAUUUUUGAGUAUAAAUAUCGACUAUUCAACCUUUGAAAAUCAUUUAUUAUUUACUAUAUGCAUAUUUGCUUAAUUGCUUUGUCUAUUAUAGUCAUUUGCUUCAUUUUUGUUUUGCUUUAUUUGAUACCUAUCAUAUUUCAGGUUGACGCUGAAGAGCAAAUUCAACGGUUGAAGGACCGUUGUAUGAUGUUAGAGUCUAUGUGUAGUCCCACAGUGGAACACAUUAAUGAUAGAGCAAGUGAUACUUUUGAUGACCUGUAUAAAGAUCCUACUAAUGAGUCCAUUUAUCUGGUGGGUGGAUAUGAUGGUCAAUCUUGGUUACCAGCCUUGGAUUUGUAUUUUCCUGCACGAGAUGUUUUAAAGUCUUUGAAGCCAAUGAGCACUGUUCGUGCAUAUGCUUCUAUUGCACGUUUGAAUAAUGAGAUUUACAUUUUUGGCGGUGGUAAUGGGCAUUCAUGGUAUGACACAGUUGAAUCAUACAAUCCAGCUAAUGAUCAGUGGACUUUGCGGCCUUCCUUGACUGGGAAAAGGGGGAGUUUGGGUGGUGCCACUUUAAACGACAAAAUAUUUGCUGUUGGUGGUGGGAAUGGGUUGGAAUGCCUUUCAGAUGUUGAAAUGCUCGAUUUAAAUGUUGGAAGGUGGAUCCCAACAAGAUCAAUGCUGCAAAAGCGAUUUGCUCUUGCUGCUGUGGAACAUAAUGGUGUACUUUAUGUGACGGGGGGAUUUGAUGGGAGUGAUUAUUUGAAUUCUGCUGAAAGAUUUGACCCUAGAGAACAUUCUUGGACAAGAAUUGCGAGUAUGAACACAAAGAGGGGCUGUCAUUCAUUGGCUGUUUUGAAUGAAAAAUUGUAUGCCUUGGGCGGUUUUGAUGGAACUAAAAUGGUUCCAAGCACUGAGAUAUUUGAUCCACGUCUUGGUUUGUGGGUCGAUGGGGAGCCGAUGAACCAGUCUAGAGGGUAUUCUGCUGCUGCGGUUGUUGAUGAAUCUAUAUAUGUAAUUGGAGGGGUCAGAUCAGAUGAAAACAUUGUAGGCACGGUUGAACAUUUCAAGGAGGGGGAAGGAUGGCAAGAAAGCUAUACAAGGACCAUUAGUAAAAGGUGCUUCUUGUCAGCGAUUGUUCUCUAGUGUCAUAGAAACGGCACAAUUGUUAACAGUGAAGCAUGGAAACUGAUUUUGGUUGACAUUGGGGAUAAGGGUGAAGGAGGUUCAUCCCAGCCUAUUUUUUCGGUCUAGUCAUGGGAUGUAAGCAAAGGUUCUUCAAUCUAAUCACCAUCAAUAUUUUGCCUUCAAUUUGUUGCUAUUGUUUGCGAGGAUAGACUUUAUUGGUCUUCACAGAUAACUAACGCAUGAGUGAAACAAAGAUGAUGAAUACUGCAUGGUAUUGAGCUUUUGGGAGCAUCCAUCUCUUGGACUGCCUCUCAACUCAAAUUUGGCCAGCAAGGAUUCUGCCAAGAUUAUAAUUCUAUCAUCUUUUUGUUACCAUGAACACAAUGAUUUGCCUCGUCAUUUCAUCCUACCAUACCGAGUCUGAAAUGAGCUAGGGACGGAUGGGAAUGGUUACCCAUUUCUGUCCUUUCCCUUUGCUAUUCCUAAUACUUGCCAUAUCAUGUCUUAUUCUUAAGAAAUUGGGGCCAAAUCAAAGUCGACGUUCUUGAGGUUCUUGUUCUGCCAAAGCAGAGUGUUUGCUGCAUCAUGCAUACAAAUCGGCAAAUAAGAAUACAAUGCGAAUGGAUGAAAUGGGCAGAUUUUAUUUUUCCAUCUUUGUACUAUUAAUAAAUGAAGGCGGGAAUUGUAAGGAGCAAAGACGGCAAUUUCCACCAAACUCGGUGGGAAAUCAACCUGAUUGACAACAUCCUGAUGUACUUAUUUUAUUGUUUAAAAUAAAAUUUAUAGUUAUUUUAAAG